GAUGAACGCUGGCGGCGUGCCUAAUACAUGCAAGUCGAGCGAACAGACGAGGAGCUUGCUCCUCUGACGUUAGCGGCGGACGGGUGAGUAACACGUGGAUAACCUACCUAUAAGACUGGGAUAACUUCGGGAAACCGGAGCUAAUACCGGACAAUAUAUUGAACCUCUUGUUUCAAUAUUGAAAGACGGUUUCGCCGGCACCUAUAGAUGGAUCCGCGCCUGAUUAGCUAGUUGGUAAGGUAACGGCUUACCAAGGCGACGAUGAGUAGCUGGCGUGAGAGGAUGAUCAGCCACAAUGGGACGGAGACACGGGACAGACUCCUACGGGAGGCAGCAGUAGGGUAUUGGGCGCAAUGGGCGGAAGCCUGACGGAGCAACGGCGCGUGAACGAUUAAGCCCUUGGGGGGGAAAAGUUCUGUCAGUGGGGACGAAACUUGACGGUACCCACAGAGGAAGCACCGGCUAACUCCGUG
rnacentral:rRNA from 1 species